AGUCCUUCCCCCAGCAUUCAGAUCCAGAAAUAGCAGAGGAAUUAGCAAGAGCUAUGCCAUGGACCAAGGACUGGAAGGAAAUUCAAUCCCUGCUUCUUGGUUUUUCCAAAGAGGACGCCAGCCCUCCAAGCCUCCCGCCUGUCCUUCCUGAGGGAACCUCACAGCACACCAAUAUUAUUGAUAAACCAAGCCCAUCCAACCCACCACCGUGAAGGCAACGUGAUUGGCUCUCAUCUACAUAUUCCUGGCAUUGUGAGGGACAGACUCCCAGGAUCAGAACCAGCCACAGACAACAUCCAGCACAGUCUGGAUUUAUGUGAACCCACAAGUUCCUGUUAUGGUUUCUACCUGGUUGUCCAGCCAAAGCCUCCUGUGCUCAGAGGCCUUGCCUGUGGAGGGUGACUGGAUCAUGGGGACGUCACAGCUGGCCUGGUGUCCGCAGGUGGGGUCUGGUUGGAAGGGGUGGGCCACUGGGGCCAUGACCCGGAAGGGUCGAUCUCCUCCCUGGCUUCACCCUUCAGGCUCUGCUUCCGGUCAGUGACAGCUGAGGAGCUUUUCCCUGUCCAGCCCUGUCCACCAUGCUGCAGA